CAGCCGCCGCGGUAAUACGGAGGGAGCUAGCGUUGUUCGGAAUUACUGGGCGUAAAGCGCACGUAGGCGGUUAUUCAAGUCAGAGGUGAAAGCCCGGGGCUCAACCCCGGAACUGCCUUUGAAACUAGAUGACUGGAAUCUUGGAGAGGUCAGUGGAAUUCCGAGUGUAGAGGUGAAAUUCGUAGAUAUUCGGAAGAACACCAGUGGCGAAGGCGACUGACUGGACAAGUAUUGACGCUGAGGUGCGAAAGCGUGGGGAGCAAACAGGAUUAGAGACCCGAGUAGUCCCUGUCUCUUAUAC
rnacentral:rRNA from 1 species